rnacentral:rRNA from 1 species
CGAACCGAGCGAACGUUGUUCGGAAUAACUGGGCUUAAAGGGCGCGUAGGCGGGCUGUCAAGUUUGGGGUGAAAUGCCACGGCUCAACCGUGGAACUGCCUCAAAUACUGACGGUCUCGAGGGAGUAGGGGCGAGCGGAACUAAUGGUGGAGCGGUGAAAUGCGUUGAUAUCAUUAGGAACUCCGGUGGCGAAGGCGGCUCGCUGGACCUUUUCUGACGCUGAGGCGCGAAAGCUAGGGGAGCAAACGGGAUUAGAUACCCCGGUAGUCCUAGCCCUAAACGUUGGGUACUAGGUAGUAGACUAGACAUGGGUUUACUGCCGGAGCAAAAGUGCUAAGUACCCCGCCUGGGGAGUAUGGUCGCAAGGCUG